rnacentral:lncRNA from 1 species
UGGAAGGUGGUGAGAUUAUGACUGGAGGGUUGACUAUUGGGGGAGUUACUAUGGGGGGUGUGAUGAUAGGUGGAUUGACAAUAGGAGGGUUAACAAUUGGUGGGAGGACAACCGGUGGCUUAUGCGAAGGCGGCUUAUGUGUAGGUGGCUUAUAUGAAGGUGGAUUCUGUGUAGGAGGCUUAAAUGAAGGCGGCUUAUGUGUAGGUGGCUUAUUUGAAGGCGGCUUAUGUGUAGGUGGCUUAUACGAGGGUGGAUUCUGUGUAGGUGGCUUAUAUGAAGGCGGCUUAUGUGUAGGUGGCUUAUACGAAGGUGGAUUCUGUGUAGGUGGCUUAUACGAAGGCGGCUUAUGUGUAGGUGGCUUAUGUGAAGAGGGUGGUUUAUGAGAAGGUGUUGAGCCUCCGGGGCUCCUUCCUUUGCUGUGGUGUGGUGGAUGAGGCCGUGGAGUAUUCGGAGGAUUAGGUUGGCGGUAUGGUGGGUAGGGUGGCGGGCAGUAUCCGCUAGCAUAGAUCGGUGGC